UACGUAGGGACCAAGCGUUGUUCGGAUUUACUGGGCGUAAAGGGCGCGUAGGCGGCAAUUCAAGUCAUCUGUGAAAUCUCCGGGCUUAACCCGGAACGGUCAGAUGAUACUGCUUUGCUAGAGUGCGGAAGGGGCAAUCGGAAUUCUCGGUGUAGCGGUGAAAUGCGUAGAUAUCGAGAGGAACACCUGAGGUGAAGACGGGUUACUGGGCCGACACUGACGCUGAGUGCGCGAAAGCCAGGGGAGCAAACGGG
rnacentral:rRNA from 1 species